rnacentral:rRNA from 1 species
CCAGAGAACUUUCCAGAGAUGGAUUGGUGCCUUCGGGAACUCUGAGACAGGUGCUGCAUGGCUGUCGUCAGCUCGUGUUGUGAAAUGUUGGGUUAAGUCCCGCAACGAGCGCAACCCUUAUCCUUUGUUGCCAGCGGUUAGGCCGGGAACUCAAAGGAGACUGCCAGUGAUAAACUGGAGGAAGGUGGGGAUGACGUCAAGUCAUCAUGGCCCUUACGAGUAGGGCUACACACGUGCUACAAUGGCGCAUACAAAGAGAAGCGACCUCGCGAGAGCAAGCGGACCUCAUAAAAGUGCGUCGUAGUCCGGAUUGGAGUCUGCAACUCGACUCCAUGAAGUCGGAAUCGCUAGUAAUCGUGGAUCAGAAUGCCACGGUGAAUACGUUCCCGGGCCUUGUACACACCGCCCGUCACACCAUGGGAGUGGGUUGCAAAAGAAGUAGGUAGCUUAACCUUCGGGAGGGCGCUUACCACUUUGUGAUUCAUGACUGGGGUGAAGUCGUAACAAGGUAGGCGUAGUGCU